CAUCUCUAGAGAUCUCCAAUUUUGAACCAUCUUUUCUAAGAGCUUAAACUUUUAGAGAGGCGGCAUUUUUAGUUUCAUUUUUUUUUUUUAAUAUUUUUGUCAACAUGUCCCUCACGUGCAAGCCAAUUCACUUUUUGUCAAAGGGAUGACAUGUGCAAAAUUUUCAUAAUUGGGUGGGAUUGAGACGUGAGCUCAUGACCUUGCUUGCUAUGAUACAAUGUUGAACUAGGAUUAGAUUACACUGAGCUGCUUUCAAUUAGAUUGACUCAUGUUAGUUUCCAUCAUUUUCUACAGAUAUGCAGCCAUUUGGGUGCUUGACAUAUUGUAAAGUCCAGUAAUUUUUCACAUAGACCCAUUAUACAAAAAUGCUCACCUUUAGUGAAGUAAUUGAGAGGGGGAACCGGAUGAAAUAAAUAGUGAGUGUUAGGAAGACCUGGCGAGGAGUAAUCUUUUCACGAAAAGGAAUUGAUUUCAAUAUGUAUCUUGCUUAUUCCUUGUUGCCUUUGUUCUAUUGGGUUCUCUCCUUUAUACAGUUGUGCUUAGUUCUUAUUUUUGAUACUGUGACCCAGGUUUCUUUUCCUUUGUUCUCUUGCUGAAUUGACGGGAAAUCUGAGAUCACAUUUUGUCUUCAACAAGUUAGAACAUUUUUAUAAGCAUACUUAGAUAAUUUUUUAUGGCUAAUCUUUGUGUUCAAAUUUGUUCAUUUAUCUCACCUAAUUCAAGUUUAAAAUAGUUGUUAAUCAUUGCAGGUGCAAGCUGUUACAAUCCAUGCCACCAAUUACUACUGCAUGACAGCUUCUCUUGAUAACACAUGGUGCUUCUAUGAAAUUGCUUCUGGUUUAUGUCUCGCUCAGGUCUCAGCCCUCCCUAUUCUUAAAUGCACCUGUGUACUAACUCAAAUGUUUAUCUCGUUAUAGCUCUGUUACUUCUGGUUUUAAGUUAUUUUCCAGGUUUAAGAGACUUCGGGAUCUUCUGAAGGCUAUACAUCUGCAUCUUUUCACCCCCGAUGGUCUCAUCCUUGGAACCAGUACCUUUGGGUCUGUACUUCUCAUGAUCAGAUUGAACUUUCCUUCUGUUUCUUUCUAUUUCCUAAGUAGUUUGAUUUUAUUUUUUUUCAUGUGUAGGCAAAUGCUGCUAGAUUUGAGGGGCAUGUUAGGGCAGUAACUGCAAUUUCAUUUUCAGAGAAUGGUUAAUUCCUAGCCGUAGGUUUUAUUCUACAAUUAACAAAAACAACGUGGCUGAAGGUGAUAAAUUCCAUUGUCUGAUUGUUUUCCAAUUUUUCCAGACUGCAGCUCAAGAUGGUGUUGAGCUUUAGGAUCUACGCAAAUUGAAGAACUUUAGGACUUUUACUCGUUAUGAUGAAAAUACACCAACACAAUCAGGUGCUUUUACCUUUUUCAUGUCGAGCAUAUACUUACGUUUAGCUCCGUCUAGACUGUGGCUUGUGAGUGCAAAACUUCUAGAAUGUGGUCUCCUGCUCAUGAUUGUCAGCAGUAUUUGUAAGCCAUUGCUCGGGACAUACCCAACAGCCAUCUAAUACUUUACGUAACAGGUCAAGAGCAUGUCUUUGAUGUUAUUCUAGUUUCAAAUAGACAAUGCAAUAUUUUCUAUCUUUGGCUGGUGUUUGAAAUUCUCACAUUUAACCAUGCUUUAAAUUUAUAGGGGAAUGCUCCCUCUACCAGUGUUUGACGAAUAAUCUGAACCCCUUAAAUUGAAUCUAAUCUAAGGGUCUCAAUCAAUUAUACUAAAAUCCUUAAAAAAUUAUAUCCCCACAUUCAAACUCACCAUAAUUACCUUUUAAAAAUCACCAAUUACCAUCUAGAGAACCUUUUUUUCCAAGUUGGUGUUUUCCUGGGUCUGCACCAUUAGGUAGAAGAGCGAUUUCAUCGAAAUUAAAAAAAUAGACGGGCAUAACUCAUUCCUUCAUGAAAUUAGAGUCUUUUGCAUGUACUUUUGCUUGAAGAGAAAUUGUGUGGCUCGGGAACAUGUUGGGACAAGUACCUUCGAUAGAAAUCUAUCAGAUUGUGGCUUCAUGUACCAUACAUUUCUACAUCGCUGCAUCCAAUAUUUUUGUUCUAACAAUGUGAUGGAGAAGAGAUCGUCUAUUUUAUUUUUUUAUUUUUUAAACGAAUUACGGUUCAUCUCUUUUAAAACGAAUUACAGUUGAAUUUGACCAUAGUGGAAGUUACCUUGCUCUUGGAGGCUUAGAUAUAUGGUAAUAUUUCAAAUAAAACUAAAGUCCUGGUUUAGUCAUGGAUAGAAGGAUAUCACUAUCAUUGUCCAUUAUUUCUAUUUCUCGUCCCAUCUUUGAAUAUCCCAUGAACUUGGAAUUAUAUAUGUUCUCGACAUACUCAUGAUGAUUGCUAGUCAUUUUAUUCACUGUAUGCAUAUCAGCCUUUGUUGCGAUCUUAAAAGCUAAUGUCUAUGUGUUGUUGUAUGACAGAGUUUAUCAAGUUGCCAAUGUUAAGUCUGAAUGGAACUACUUGUCAGGCACAGGUUAGAUCCUCUCGUUCUGUACCAAUGACUUCUUUCACCUCACAGAGUCGUUUUUUGUCCCUUACGUUUGCCCGGGUAUGCCCGGAGUAGUUGUUUAUGUUUAUGGACAUUGAUUCGUCCGGGUAUGUCCGGUAUACUUGUAUUUGAUUUUGGACAUUGUCUCGCCCGGGUAUGCCCGGUGUAUUUGUACAUGGUACAAUUUUGAUCUAUAUAUUUACAUUUACCGAUCAAAAAAAAAAAAAAAAAAGAAGAAUGUCUUGUCGACUAUAUUCUCCGGUAUGGUCUAAUAUUACGACCCUGUAUGCUGUGGUUUUUUUAUGUGCUAUGGUGCGAGAACUUGCUCAAAACUCUAGAGGUUAUAAUCACCCUCAUGAAUGCAGGUAAAGCAACAUGUGUAAAGUUUGGUCUAGAUGCAAACUAUAUAGCUUUGUGAUCUAUGGAUAGAAACCUCAGAAAAUUUGGGCUCCCCCUGGUCGGGGAAGAUGGUUCAUCAGAGUCGUAAAGCAAUUUUAAUUGUACUUCUGCCAGCACUGAGCCUAGUAGCUAUCCCUGCAGUUUCUGUGGCUGUGGGGCUGAAAUAGUUUAAGUUGAAAGGAGAACUCACUGUGGGAUCAAUGC
rnacentral:lncRNA from 1 species